CCCGCUGAACUUAAGCAUAUCAGUAAGCGGAGGAAAAGAAAUUAACAAAGAUUGCCCCAGUAGCGGCGAGUGAAGAGGCAACAGCUCAAGUUGAGAAUCGAUUGUAGUAAUACUCUCGAAUUGUAAUCUGAAGUGCAGUCCAGAAGGUGAAAACGACGCACAAACUCCUGGAAAGGAGUGUCAUAGAGGGUGACAACCCCGUACAUGGUGUCGUUCAAGCUGUAUGGAAGGCUACAAAGAGUCGGGUUGUUUGGGACUGCAGCCCAAAGUGGGAGGUAAACUUCUCCUAAGGCUAAAUAUUGGUGGGAAACCGAUAGCGAACAAGUACUGUGAAGGAAAGAUGAAAAGAACUUUGAAAAGAGAGUUAAAAGACUUGAAAUCGUUGAGAAGGAAGCGGUAGAAAAAAAUGAUUUGGUCAGGACUUUAGGAGUGACAAAGCUAGUCUGGUAUGCUUGUUGUACUUCAACGGCACUUGUAUACCAAGAUAAUAGCUUUGUGCCUGUGCUCCUGGCCAAAAGGUAGUAUCAGGAUAGAGGGUAUGGAAAAAACGCGGGGAAGCCCCAGAAAUGGACGAACUGCGCGAUACAUACUCCUGUCCUGAGGGACGAAAGUGAUACUGCCGAAAUGGUUUCUACCGACCCGUCUUGAAACACGGACCAAGGAGUCUACCACUUACGCGAGUGUGCGAGUGUACAAACUCAUACGCGAAAUGAAAGUGAAAACAAGGUAUGAAUCGCAAGAUGCAAUACCGACCGACCGAAGCCUCGGCAACGGAUUGAGUAAGAGCGUAAUUGUUAGGACCCGAAAGAUGGUGAACUAUACUUGAGUAGGGUGAAGUCAGGGGAAACUCUGAUGGAAGCUCGUAGCGAUAUUGACGUGCAAAUCAUUCGUCAAACUUGAGUAUAGGGGCGAAAGACUAAUCGAACCAUCUAGUAGCUGGUUCCCUCCGAAGUUUCUCUCAGGAUAGCUGGAACAUAUAUCGCAGUUUUAUUAGGUAAAGCGAAUGAUUAGAGGAAUCAGAGCUGAAACAGUUUUGACCUAUUCUCAAACUUUAAAUUGGUAAGCACUGGUAGUUUUCUUACUUGAACUAUCAGGUUGAAUGCGUGUUCUUAGUGGGCCAUUUUUGGUAAGCAGAACUGGCGAUGAGGGAUGCACCUAACGUUGAGAUAAGGUGCCUAAAUGCUCGCUCAUCAGACACCGCAAAAGGCGUUGAUUCAUCGAGACAACAGGACGGUGGCCCUAGAAGUCGGAACCCGCUAAGGAGUGUGUAACAACUCACCUGCCGAAUG
rnacentral:rRNA from 1 species